AUUUCCCAGAAAACUGGAGGCGAAGCAUCAGCCUUUUUGUAGCUGACAUUGAGGCUUAUCUGCUGGGUCACCUUGUUGACAUAUGACAGUGACACAUUGCAAUGGCUGCACCUUUCAUCCUCCUUCAGCUUCUGACUCCUAUGCCAGCAUUUCGAUCAUUCAGACUGAAUUUGGAUUAGAGUCUGCGACAUGGUUCUUACUGGAAUCUCCAGCCUUCUGUCCUGUCCUGUAGCGACUAGACCUGCCGCCCCACAACUGCAUGAGCCACUUCUCAUUGUCUCACAUCCGGAUGGCCAACCCUUCCUGGGUGAUAGAAGCCCUGAUGCCAGGCUCACCCCAUCUGCAGGUGCUUUGCCAGUUG